GUAACCGCUCUGAUUGUCAUCUGGGGGUGGGGAGACUGACUGCUUCUCCAAAUAUCAUAAGAGAGCAGACCUGGGCCAGCGAGCCGUGGGUACAAGUCCCAGGACAGCAGUUUGGGCAUAGUGCGUGGGAAAACCACCAGCAGCGGGCUCUCCUACAAGCGCCCAGAAGGGCUGGUGCAAGCGUGGCGCACGCGCACGCCGGAGUUUAGAAGAGGGACCGCGGUGGCUGUGCAGGAGCCGAGAGAAGACGGAGAGACACCCUUUCACCUCCUCAUUCCUGCUGCUCCAGUGUUCAUUUUAGCCCAACUGAACAGAACACAGUGGAAAUCCCAAACCAAGUUUGACAGCGAUUUCUUCAGAGUGCAACGCCAUGGAUUGAUGAACCCGCCAGGAACAAAGUUCCUUUUAACAAAGACGCUGUUAAAAACAAAACCGAAAAAAACCUUGCACAGCCCCUAAGUAUUUAUCAUCCAGUUACAACGAACAAACAAGAGGAGGGGCGUGGUGCAGGUCAUGCAGAUAGCUUGGACCAUUCCUUGCUGCUGAAAGAAGGGAGAGAGCAAGACAAGUGGGUAUCUGUAAUUGUGUUCUAGGCAGAGGCAACAGCCAAUGUAAAUGUCCUGAGGCAAGAGUAUGCAUAGUGUUCUGGGAAAAGCUGGGAUUGUCAGGAAGUCCGGAUUAAGAAGAGGGGUGUUAAGGAUUUUGGAUAUCAGAUGGAAGGAAGCAGGAAGCCAUCAGAGGCUUCAUCGUCGGCUGAAUAGAGGAGCAACUUUGAUUCAUAAGAUGAUACCCUUAAGUUGCUAAGAACAGUGCCUGCGCAGAGUACAAUUUCAAUUAAUAUUAGCUAUUGUUAUACUUUACCCCCUAAAUUUCCAUUUACUCACCCCACAUAUGCAAAUACACACACCACUCAAAGCCCUUCAGUAACCCCUCUCUACCUACAGAGGUGUCCCAGGUCCUUCCAUCUGGGAUUCAAGCCCCUCUAUGAUAAGGCCUAAUGCACACUUCCAGCUACCAGCCCAGAACAUGCCCAGCUACAGACUCGCUCUCCCUGGAUCUGCACACUUCCUCUCUUCUUUGCUUUCCUGUACAAUUCCUUUCCUCCUGAAAGGAACCUCCUAACAUCCUACCCAAGGUCACAUCCAUCUCAAAGGCUACCUCCUUCAUUAAGGCUUCCCUCAUGCAUCAGCAGAUAGGAGUCAUGACUGUACUAUUAGCUAAGCUGUGCCACUCACAGACCUUCUUAUCCUUGGUGCUGGGCAUGUUCCCCCAUGGAAGCCCACCCGCAGCCCCUGCCACCACCCAUGAGGAAGCUACCUGCCAACUCCUCCACAGGGCUCAGCCAAAGCACUGAACAAAGCCAUUAUGACUAUCCACGGGAUAACACAAUAAAUGCACAGCCUCUGUUUACCCCCACCCACUUGAUAAAGACCUAGCCAAGACUCAGCUGAGCAGUGAAGGGGUACCUGCUCUCGCAGGCUCUCCAAGGGGCCAGCUAAUUAUAAAUAAAAAAGGUCAGAGGGGGUAAAAAACGUCCUCUUCCUUAAAGUAUAAAAACUCAACGGACAAAAAUAAAUCUAGCAACUGCUCAGAUCAGAUCAGAACUGUUCUGAUCACCAGUUAAGCCCAAAGGCUUUGGCGUCUCUGUGAGCACAGAUAGAGGUAUUUCACACACACACACAAACCAGCCACAAUAAAAGAGGGGGAGGUUCAAAAUCAUGCUCAACACCAAACAUGCACACGCACAUAUACACACACACACGCAUGCACGCACACCCCACACACGCGCACCUAGCAUAGCUGUGUGGCCACGUUCAAGCACUUGUGUCUAGAGAAAGGACACCCCUCACACAUAGAGGAAGUUCUGAAGCACCCACAAGGCAAGAGCCAGAUGAAAAGGAACUGAGGCCAUCCUCACAAAGUCAGCGGUGGGGAGCACUUCAGCUACAUCAUAGGAGCCUCCGAUGACCAUGGAGUAAUGAGGGUGGGAAACAUAACUCACCACCUGUCUUUACAGAAGACAUAUUAAAGAGCUCUGAACUCCCGCAUGGUUUUCUGAAGCAGACAGAUGAUAUGCCAGAUCAGACAGGGGUCAGAAUCCUCUAGGUGACUGCUUAACCAGAUGCAGAUAAAUCACUGGAUCACAGAGCAGCCUCCAGAGGGUCUGAAUUAAGGAGCUCAAGGUGAAAAUGGGGGCAGGACUCACGAACUGUAGUUACCCAGGUCUCUCGGGGAGGCUCUGGCUUCUCUCUCUCUCAAGCCAUUUCACCAGGUUAGCCCCUGCCCAGGGCCAAGAACACAACAGACAAAGCAACAAGCCAGAGAAGCAACUGGUACCGAGAAUCUGGUCAAAAGGCCUCUGCCAAAGGACAAUUAGCUGGAUCCUGGGUCUCAUAAAUGGCACCUAUAAUGGA